rnacentral:rRNA from 1 species
AUCCAGACUCCUACGGGAGGCAGCAGUGAGGAAUAUUGGUCAAUGGGCUUACGCCUGAACCAGCCAAGUCGCGUGAGGGAAGACUGCCCUAUGGGUUGUAAACCUCUUUUGUCAGGGAGCAACGCCGGCUACGUGUAGCCGGACUGAGAGUACCUGAAGAAAAAGCAUCGGCUAACUCCGUGCCAGCAGCCGCGGUAAUACGGAGGAUGCGAGCGUUAUCCGGAUUUAUUGGGUUUAAAGGGUGCGCAGGCGGAGGUGCAAGUCAGCGGUCAAAUUGCGGGGCCCAACCCCGUCGAGCCGUUGAAACUGGCAGACUUGAGUUGGCGAGAAGUACGCGGAAUGCGCGGUGUAGCGGUGAAAUGCAUAGAUAUCGCGCAGAACUCCGAUUGCGAAGGCAGCGUACCGGCGCCAGACUGACGCUGAGGCUCGAAAGCAUGGGUAGCGAACAGGAUUAGAUACCCCCGUA